rnacentral:rRNA from 1 species
GACGAACGCUGGCGGCGUGCCUAAUACAUGCAAGUAGAACGCACAGGAUACACCGUAGUUUACUACACCGUAUUCUGUGAGUUGCGAACGGGUGAGUAACGCGUAGGUAACCUGCCUGGUAGCGGGGGAUAACUAUUGGAAACGAUAGCUAAUACCGCAUAAGAACAUUUACUGCAUGGUAGAUGUUUAAAAGGUGCAAAUGCAUCACUACCAGAUGGACCUGCGUUGUAUUAGCUAGUAGGUGAGGUAACGGCUCACCUAGGCGACGAUACAUAGCCGACCUGAGAGGGUGAUCGGCCACACUGGGACUGAGACACGGCCCAGACUCCUACGGGAGGCAGCAGUAGGGAAUCUUCGGCAAUGGGGGGAACCCUGACCGAGCAACGCCGCGUGAGUGAAGAAGGUUUUCGGAUCGUAAAGCUCUGUUGUUAAGGAAGAACGAGUGUGAGAAUGGAAAGUUCAUACUGUGAC